CAACGACAAAAAACGAAGAUAAAAGCUAAUAUACAAUAAUCACCUGUAACGGCAAAGCAAUCUUUUUUGCAUCAUCGCCUCUCAUCGUGGCUGAAUUUAUACGCCGUGAGGUUGUGUACAGCUUUAGCAAUUGAGGGCGACUCAAAUGGGGGCGUUCCCAACGAAGACUCCUGUACAAUUGGUCGGGUUCGCUGAAGGACAGAGUUUCUUAGCAGCUUGAAGAGUACUAAGCUGAGUGACAUGCUGAGUCAUCGGAUGUUCACAACUUCGACAAGGAUCGAUGAGGGUGGCGGUCGUGACCUGAGCCCCACC